AUUCAGAGACGGGCUGCGCGCUCCGAGCUGCACGGGCAGGCAUUUUCCCCGGCUUUGUUUUACAAGGUACCAGACCCGGCCAGACUCCUAAACCGCCGCGCGGGGGCAGCUGAACUCAAGGCGACCCGGGUGCGGGAACCGAACCCGCGGAGAAAGGGAAGAACGCGCUCAGAGGACAGACUGCAGCUGUUAAAAUAAGCGAGUCUGCUCACCGCACACGUGAUGUAGUGGAACUUCAGCCGGUUUGUAAACGCCUUCCUCCUUCCCACUUUUGCAGCGGGAAUCCCUUGCUGACCUGCACCCUCCCACUCCACCACUGUGUGAGAGUUUAUCUUCCAGAACCGCUGCUCGGCCAGACUGGAGUAUUUCCCCAGUUACCAGGAGAAUUUCCUAGCGAAAUCUAUAGAUAUGAAUGAGGUGCCGAACCGGAGCUCUGAGGAUAUAGCAAGGUUGCUGCCUUCGUUAAGCUUAAGUUCUGCAGAUGGAUGGUGCUAAACAAACACAAAAUUAAAAGUUUUUUCACAGCCAAGGAAACCAUGGGCAAAACCAAAAACAAACAAACAAACAAAAACAACCUACAGAAAGGGAGAAGAUAUUUGCAAAUGAUGUGACCAACGAUAGCCUAAUUUCUAAAAUAUGCAAGCAGCUAAUACAGCUUAAUAUCAACAAGCAAACAACCAACCUAAUCAAUGGGCAAAGGACCUAAAUAGGCAUUUUUUCCAAAGAUAUACAGAUGGCCCAUAGACACAUGAAAAGAUGCUUAAUAUUGCUAAUUAUUAGAGAAAAGCAAGUCAAAACUACAAUGAGGUAUCGCCUCACACUGGUCAGAAUGGCCAUCGUCAAAAAGUCCACAAGUCAGAAUUGUCUGGUGGCUCAGGUUUGAUCCCUGGCCCCAGAAUUGUUGGCUGUGGCUACAGCCAAAGAAAAAGUCUA
rnacentral:lncRNA from 1 species